rfam:Dipodomys ordii contig_757, whole genome shotgun sequence.
GGGAAUGUGGCUUAGUGGUAGAGUGCUUGCCUAGCAUGCAUGAAGCCCUGGAUUCCAUUCCUC